AAACACACACACACAGACACACACACACUGCUCCCUGGGCCUGGGCGGGCGGUGGCUUUUAAUCAGCCGUUUUCUUUCCUUCAGAUAAAACUUUGAAUCCUCGAGGUCCAACCUUUGUCGAGCAGGCGGGGGAAGCGGAAACAUGAUGUUUGCGUUUAAAUAACAGACGGAGAAGUGUUUAAAGAGGGAAGCGGAGCAGCUAAUGCAAGAAGAAGAGGAAGAGGAAGAAGGAGGAGGAGGAGGAGGAAGGCCUGAGGCUCCGCCUCCCACCGCGGCGCCGCUGAUUAAUCCCGUCAUAAAAUGUUAUCCCCAGAAAACCUCCAUGACUUGUGAAUGUCUUUCUUUCCUCACUCGCCCAACAAAAGAACUCUCUCUCUUCUCCAGAUGCCGCCUCUUCGUGGCGUGAAGGCCUCCCGCCCGCCGUCCCCCGCCGCCACGUCUCACCGGGGAUUACAAAGCGAGUUUGUCCUCUGCACUGGAUUUAAAGGGACGGUUGGAAUGAUAGUUGCAGUACGUGAGUUCAACAGGAUGAAAACGCUGCUGCUUCUAUUCGUCUGGAGGCGCUCAGCUGAGCAGGAAGAGGCUCCGUCAGCAGGGGGCUACACCCCCCCCCCCCCCCCACACACACACACACACACACACACACUCAGCUUCCUCCUGCCUCCACUGCCUACCAGAUUGACACCUAAAGUGGCACUAAUUGGCAUGAGCUCUGACAGCUAUCCGGCGUGCCUGUGACAAACUUUUAACGGCACGCCUUCCCACCCAGCAGCAUCCGGACUACCGCCUUCCCCGCUAAGGGGGAACCUAUUAAAAAAAAUACAAAUAAACUCUAUAUGCAGAUACCCAAGCUGCAGUAUGCUCCCUCCUGCUGUCCCUUUCUUUCUGCUCGUUCUUUCCCUCCUCCUGCACCAUUACAGACACAUCAGCCCACACCGACGCUCACCGACGGGCGCAGAUGGGCGCUGUCUGGUCGCCAUGACGCAUGAACGUCGAUCAUAUAUUUCUCAGACUUCUGGACGCGAUGAAUUAUGUAUAUAGAGGGACCAAAAUACAGCGCAGGCUUGUGAAAUGCAAUAAAAUCUUGUUUUCUGGUGCAUGAGAUAUAAUCGGUGUAACUCAUUUUCUUUUGUGGUGUGGACCGUGAAGUCUAAUGUGUCU